AUGAACGCUGGCGGCGUGCCUAAUACAUGCAAGUCGAGCGAACAGACGAGGAGCUUGCUCCUCUGACGUUAGCGGCGGACGGGUGAGUAACACGUGGAUAACCUACCUAUAAGACUGUGAUAACUUCGGGAAACCGGAGCUAAUACCGGAUAAUAUAUUGAACCGCAUGGUUCAAUAGUGAAAGACGGUUUUGCUGUCACUUAUAGAUGGAUCCGCGCCGCAUUAGAUAGUUGGUAAGGUAACGGCUUACCAAGGCGACGAUGCGUAGCCGACCUGAGAGGGUGAUCGGCCACACUGGAACUGAGACACGGUACAGACUCCUACGGGAGGCAGCAGUAGGGAAUCUUACGCAAUGGGCGAGAGCCUGACGGAGCAACGCCGCGUGAGUGAUGAAGGUCUUCGGAUCGUAAAACUCUGUUAUUAGGGAAGAACAAAUGUGUAAGUAACUAUGCACGUCUUGACGGUACCUAAUCAGAAAGCCACGGCUAACUACGUG
rnacentral:rRNA from 1 species